AGUGAGCGCUGGCGAUAGGCCUAACACAUGCAAGUCGAACGGCAGCACAGUAAGAGCUUGCUCUUACGGGUGGCGAGUGGCGGACGGGUGAGGAAUACAUCGGAAUCUACUUUUUCGUGGGGGAUAACGUAGGGAAACUUACGCUAAUACCGCAUACGACCUACGGGUGAAAGCAGGGGAUCUUCGGACCUUGCGCGAUUGAAUGAGCCGAUGUCGGAUUAGCUAGUUGGCGGGGUAAAGGCCCACCAAGGCGACGAUCCGUAGCUGGUCUGAGAGGAUGAUCAGCCACACUGGAACUGAGACACGGUCCAGACUCCUACGGGAGGCAGCAGUGGGGAAUAUUGGACAAUGGGCGCAAGCCUGAUCCAGCCAUACCGCGUGGGUGAAGAAGGCCUUCGGGUUGUAAAGCCCCUUUGUUGGGAAAGAAAAGCAGCAGGUUAAUACCCCGCUGUUCUGACGGUACCCAAAGAAUAAGCACCGGCUAACUUCGUG
rnacentral:rRNA from 1 species